GUCCGCCUAGCCCAACUGGCACGAGGCGCGCGGCCCAAACCCGCGAGGUUCCCGGUUCGAACCCGGGGGCGGACA
rnacentral:tRNA from 1 species